UCUCCAUAGUGCUGUGUGGGCAUGGAGGACUAGGGUCUUUCUUUCAUGAAACAGGUAAUGGAGAACUGAAAGCUCAUGGUGUGUUCAGAGAACAGCUAGCAGAGGAGAGGAGGAAAGAAGAGAAGGAAGGAAGAAGAUCAAGCUGAAAUGGUACUACGGGGACUCUUAAUGCUCCAUUAAGCCAAAUGGUUUGGACUUCAUCUGUAAGUAAUAGGGAGCCAAUGAAGAGUGUGGGACAGGAGAGUAAUUCAAUUCAGUAUGUAUUUUGAAUUGAUGGCUAUGAUAGUGACUAAGGAGAAUUAGAAAGUAGAGGCAGUUAGACUAGUUCGGUGGCUGUAGAAAUAGUCUAG
rnacentral:lncRNA from 1 species